CCCUUAGAUGUCCUGGGCCGCACGCGCGCUACACUGAUGCAUUCAACGAGUUUUACCUUGGCCGAGAGGCCUGGGCAAUCUUUUAAACCUUCAUCGUGAUAGGGAUAGAUUAUUACAAUUAUUAAUCUUGAACGAGGAAUUCCUAGUAAACGCAAAUCAUCAAUUUGCAUUGAUUACGUCCCUGCCCUUUGUACACACCGCCCGUCGCACCUACCGAUUGAAUGGUCCGGUGAAGCCUCGGGAUUGUGGCCAGUUCACUUUAUUGGGAGUUGGCUGUGAGAACUUGUCUAAACCUUAUCAUUUAGAGGAAGGUGAAGUCGUAACA
rnacentral:rRNA from 1 species